UUUAGUUCCAGAAUGUGAUGAGACAAAUGCGUUUGGAUUUAAGGAGAACAAUGCCACAGCUGUGAGAAGCUUUUUCCAGGAUUCCAUUUCCAAGAUCUAUUUUCAUCCUUAAAAUUGUUCACUGUACCUUAAUCAUAGAAACUGCAGGACCUAUCAUGCUACAGAGAAAACUACCUGCCUGCCUCAAGCCAACUGGUGAGGACUGGUUUGCUGCACAGGCACCUCUGUAAUAACCACACAGUGCCCGCACCUGCUCUCAGGCCUCCUGAUUGUGCCAGUUCUCAGAUCCACUCUGCAAAGGCACAGGUGGUCAUACAGCUCAUUUUUCUGAGCUCCAGAAGAUAGAAUAGAAGUGAGCAACUGCAAUAAAGGCACAUAAGAUCUCCAUAGUUGGUAAGUUGGAGAGAG
rnacentral:lncRNA from 1 species